rnacentral:rRNA from 1 species
GAUGAACGCUGGCGGCGUGCUUAACACAUGCAAGUCGAACGGAAAGGCCCAAGCUUGCUUGGGUACUCGAGUGGCGAACGGGUGAGUAACACGUGGGUGAUCUGCCCUGCACUUCGGGAUAAGCCUGGGAAACUGGGUCUAAUACCGGAUAGGACCACUUCUUGGAUGUUGUGGUGGAAAGUUUUUUCGGUGUGGGAUGAGCUCGCGGCCUAUCAGCUUGUUGGUGGGGUAAUGGCCUACCAAGGCGUCGACGGGUAGCCGGCCUGAGAGGGUGUACGGCCACAUUGGGACUGAGAGACGGCCCAGACUCCUACGGGAGGCAGCAGUGGGGAAGAUUGCCCAAUGGGCGCCAGCCUGAUGCAGCGACGCCGCGUGGGGGAUGACGGCCUUCGGGUUGUAAACUACUUUCGCUAGGGACGAAGCGUUUUGUGACGGUACCUGGAGAAGAAGCACCGGCUAACUACGUG